rnacentral:rRNA from 1 species
GGCGAACGGGUGAGUAACACGUAGGUGACCUGCCUCGAAGUGGGGGAUAACCAUUGGAAACGAUGGCUAAUACCGCAUAGUCCUAUCCUUGUGGGAACUUGGAUUGGUAAAGCUCCGGCGCUUCGAGAGGGGCCUGCGUCCGAUUAGCUAGUUGGUGAGGUAAAAGCUCACCAAGGCGACGAUCGGUAGCUGGUCUGAGAGGACGAUCAGUCACACGGGAACUGAGACACGGUCCCGACUCCUACGGGGGGCAGCAGUGAGGAAUAUUGCACAAUGGGGGAAACCCUGAUGCAGCAACGCCGCGUGGAGGAUGAAGGCCUUUGGGUCGUAAACUCCUUUUCUGUGGGAAGAGCAAGGACGGUACCACAGGAAUAAGUCACGGCUAACUACGUGCCGGCAGCCGCGGUAACACGUAGGUGGCAAGCGUUAUCCGGAAUUACUGGGCGUAAAGCGCACGCAGGCGGUCAUUCAAGUCUGACGUGAAAGCUCCUGGCUUAACCGGGAGAGGUCGUUGGAAACUGUAUGGCUUGAGGUAGUGAGAGGGGUGCAGAAUUCC